rnacentral:rRNA from 1 species
UACGGGGGGGGCAAGCGUUUGUUCGGAAUUACUGGGCGUAAAGGGCUCGUAGGCGGCCAACUAAGUCAGACGUGAAAUCCCCAGGCUCAACCUGGGAACUGCGUCUGAUACUGGAUGGCUUGAAUCCGGGAGAGGGAUGCAGAAUUCCAGGUGUAGCGGUGAAAUGCGUAGAUAUCUGGAGGAAUACCGGUGGCGAAGGCGGCAUCCUGGACCGGCAUUGACGCUGAGGAGCGAAAGCUAGGGGAGCAAACGGG